GAGGAAGGCUCGUCCGCUCAGGGUAAGUCGGGACCUAAGGCGAGGCCGAAAGGCGUAGUCGAAGGACAACAGGUCGAAAUUCCUGUACCACCGUAAGCCGUUAUGAGCAAUGGGGGGACGCAGUAGGGUAGUGACGCAGGCUGAUGGAUGCCUGUCCAAGCAGUGAGGCUGAUGUGUAGGCAAAUCCGCACAUCGUAAGGCUGAGCUGUGAUGGGGAGUGAAAAUUACAGUAGCGAAGGUCAUGAUCUCACACUGCCAAGAAAAGCCUCUAGCCAGGUGAUGGUGCCCGUAC
rnacentral:rRNA from 1 species